ACGUAGGUGGCGAGCGUUAUCCGGAUUUAUUGGGUUUAAAGGGUGCGUAGGCGGCUUUUUAAGUCGGUGGUUAAAGGUAGCAGCUCAACUGUUUUACAUGCUGCCGAUACUGAAGAGCUUGAGUUAUUGGAAGGCAGAUGGAAUUCCUGGUGUAGCGGUGAAAUGCAUAGAUACCAGGAGGAACACCGAUUGCGAAGGCAUUCUGCUGCAAAUAUACUGACGCUGAGGCACGAAAGCGUGGGGAUCAAACAGGAUUAGAUACCCUGGUAGUCCACGCCGUAAACGAUGAUUACUAGUUGUUGGGCUUCAUUGCUCAGUGAUCAAGGGAAACCGAUAAGUAAUCCACCUGGGGAGUACGCCGGCAACGGUG
rnacentral:rRNA from 1 species